ensembl:snRNA U2 U2 spliceosomal RNA
AUUGCUUCCUGGCCUUUUGGCUAAGAUCAAGGGUAGUAUCUGUUCUUAUCAGGUUACUAUCUGAUACAUCCUGUAUUCAAGGAUAAGAUAUUAAGUGGACUUUUGGAGCAGGGAGCUCCGUCAACUCCACACAUUGACCUGGUUUAAAGAAAAAAAA